UACGAAGGGGGCUAGCGUUGUUCGGAUUUACUGGGCGUAAAGCGCACGUAGGCGGUUUGUUAAGUCGGGGGUGAAAUCCUGGAGCUCAACUCCAGAACUGCCUUCGAUACUGGCAAUCUCGAGUCCGGAAGAGGUGAGUGGAACUCCUAGUGUAGAGGUGGAAUUCGUAGAUAUUAGGAAGAACACCAGUGGCGAAGGCGGCUCACUGGUCCGGUACUGACGCUGAGGUGCGAAAGCGUGGGGAGCAAACAGG
rnacentral:rRNA from 1 species